rnacentral:piRNA from 1 species
UCCAAAUUUAUAUACAUUUGUGGUAGGUAAC